rnacentral:rRNA from 1 species
CGCGGUAAUUCCAGCUCCAAUAGCGUAUAUUAAAGUUGUUGCGGUUAAAAAGCUCGUAGUUGGACCUGUGUUCCACGCUGUCGGUUCGCCGCCCGUCGGUGUCAACUGGCAUGUCCUGUGGAACGUCCUGCCGGUGGCGGUCCGGGCUUUCGGCUUGCGUAAGGGCCCACGCCCGAAGCAGGCCGAACAGUACCGGCCGCCGGUCCAAUCCCGCCACGGUGCUCUUCACCGAGUGUCGAGGUGGGCCGGCACGUUUACUUUGAACAAAUUAGAGUGCUUAAAGCAGGCUGGUGUUCCGCCUGAAUACUGUGUGCAUGGAAUAAUAGAAUAGGACCUCGGUUCUAUUUUGUUGGUUUUCGGAACCCGAGGUAAUGAUUAAUAGGGACAGGCGGGGGCAUUCGUAUUGCGACGUUAGAGGUGAAAUUCUUGGAUCGUCGCAAGACGAACCUAAGCGAAAGCAUUUGCCAAGUAUGUUCUCGUUAAUCAAGAACGAAAGUUAGAGGUUCGAAGGCGAUCAGAUACCGCCCUAGUUCUAACCAUAAACGAUGCCAGCCAGCGAUCCGCCGAAGUUCCUCCGAUGACUCGGCGGGCAGCUUCCGGGAAACCAAAGCUUUUGGGUUCCGGGGGAAGUAUGGUUGCAAAGCUGAAACUUAAAGGAAUUGACGGAAGGGCACCACCAGGAGUGGAGCCUGCGGCUUAAUUUGACUCAACACGGGAAACCUCACCAGGCCCGGACACCGGAAGGAUUGACAGAUUGAGAGCUCUUUCUUGAUUCGGUGGGUGGUGGUGCAUGGCCGUUCUUAGUUGGUGGAGCGAUUUGUCUGGUUAAUUCCGAUAACGAACGAGACUCUAGCCUGCUAACUAGGCGAUUCCGGUACCCACAAUAGUGUUACCGGCGAUUCAAUUUCUUCUUAGAGGGACAGGCGGCUCCUAGCCGCACGAGACUGAGCAAUAACAGGUCUGUGAUGCCCUUAGAUGUCCUGGGCCGCACGCGCGCUACACUGAAGGAAUCAGCGUGUCUUCCCUGGCCGACAGGCCCGGGUAACCCGUUGAACCUCCUUCGUGCUAGGGAUUGGGGCUUGCAAUUGUUCCCCAUGAACGAGGAAUUCCCAGUAAGCGCGAGUCAUAAGCUCGCGUUGAUUACGUCCCUGCCCUUUGUACACACCG